rnacentral:lncRNA from 1 species
CACAAAAGUCCAAUUGUGCAAGGUGAAUCUCAAACAGUUGGACAUUAUCUUUCUAAUUCAAAGCUUUUCUCGUCUAAUUUUUAUUUCCUUGGGAUCGACUAGAUGUAGUGUUUUUCUGAGGCUGCAGAUGCUGUACUGUACAAAGUGAGUCUGUCUGUUUGCAGAGAGCAUAACCGCAGCGCACAGGACCAUCAAACGUACCAAGGAUGGGUUGAAACCAUGGAGCAAAUAUAUAACAACAUGCAUAACCUUACAAGGAGACAAUCCGUCGAUUCAGACUCGCAGUCUCUAACAGACGCUGGUGCAGCACUUCUCUACACCAUGAAGCACAGCAACAGGAAGUCCAUCUCACUGAAGAAUAAACAUCAACUCUAGCCAACUGUCAGCCUCCACAGUCAUGAAUGAAACGGAUACAAAUUCUGCCAUUUGACUAUCUGGCCGAAUGAAUAUCCCUCAAAUAUUUCAUAAUUUAAAUAAUAUAUAUAACUGACUCAGACGCCAUCAUGCAGCUAACACCUAGAUCCUUGUGUGUCAGCAAAACACAUCUCACAACACAUAAACCUCCAACACAACUGUUAAUAUAGUUCUGAUUAUGUAAUUGUGUUUUAAUAGAUGUAACUUGACAGAAAAAGCGUCAGUUUCUAUGUGUUAAUGUUUAAAAGCUGCUAAAGGGAGUGAGCAGUGGAGUACAUACAGGAUAAGACUAACAGUAAUCCUGCCUGAGAUGGAAGCUGAAGCAUCACCAGACCUGCGUUUCAACAUGUGACGCUGAGCAUGGGGCAUUAUUCAGCGCUGGCAGGUUCCAGGAAACAUACACAAACCAGGCUUCAAUCAGAAUACGCAGGCUGAUGCCGAGCAGGUGAAAGCCUACUGUGCCUCUGUCUGUGGAAACAACCUGGACCUCCAGCUACCGGACAGAGAGGAUAACCAGCACGUAGAGGACCAUCAUAGGUUUGUUGAAGCAGAUCCCUGCUGCCGUUGCAUGUGAAGUCAGCCUCCCGUUUGCUAAAAGGGCAGCUCAGCCAGGAAGAGGAUCACCAGGAAGCCCAACCACAGAGAGCGACACUUCGAGGUGGCGGAGGCGUCCACCCACCGCGCGUCCGCAGGAUGGGGGGGGACGAGGCCUGUUACUAUGGCAGCCAUCGUCACGCCUGGCCUGGAGUUCGUCUUUUCAACAGGAAAGAAAAUGCAGUUUCUAAAUGUUGUUAUAAAUAUCAAUAUAUUGCAAGGUCUAUCAUUUUCUCUGCCCUGUACAAUAAAUGAUUUCUU